GGGGAAUAUUGCACAAUGGGCGAAAGCCUGAUGCAGCAACGCCGCGUGAGUGAUGAAGGUCUUCGGAUUGUAAAGCUCUGUCUUUUGGGACGAUAAUGACGGUACCAAAGGAGGAAGCCACGGCUAACUACGUGCCAGCAGCCGCGGUAAUACGUAGGUGGCGAGCGUUGUCCGGAUUUACUGGGCGUAAAGGGUGCGUAGGCGGAUGUUUAAGUGAGAUGUGAAAUACCCGGGCUUAACUUGGGUGCUGCAUUUCAAACUGGAUAUCUAGAGUGCAGGAGAGGAGAAUGGAAUUCCUAGUGUAGCGGUGAAAUGCGUAGAGAUUAGGAAGAACACCAGUGGCGAAGGCGAUUCUCUGGACUGUAACUGACGCUGAGGC
rnacentral:rRNA from 1 species